UGGAAUUUAGCAAUGGAAAUGCAACACACAAAAUAAAUCAAACCAAAAGGGAAGAAGAUUUAGAAUCUGUAGACUACUCGAAAUAUGAAGAACAAUAUGAAUCAGGGAGCACUUUUUUAGGCGAAUAAACGGGCUGCCCUGCAUUAAAACAAAAUGUUGCCUAACGGGUACGCUCGUUAACUUAUUAGUAGAUACAGGAUCAACAAACAAUUAUAUAAAUAAAAUUUGUAACAUAGGGCAAUCAAUUAAAGUUAAACCAUUUAAAACUAAAACAUUGCACGGUUAUUCCGUCAUAGACUCUAAAAAAGUAAUCACGAUGUACGGCCAUCAUUUAACCUUUUUUGAAAUAAAUGAGCUUAACGAAUUCGACUUGAUUCUUGGGGAACAAGGAUUACGUCAAAUGAAAGCAGAAAUAAAUUUAUUCAACUAUAGCCUAAAGUACCAAAAAAAGAUACUUUCAAAAAAUGAACAAACAAUUAACCUUACUAUUAAUAAUGAACAAUUCAAAGACCAGGUAGACAAACUCAUGAAAAGAAAUAAUUGCAUUAGUGAAACAUUUCCCUUCACAACCGCCAUUCAAGCAUCAAUUAGGACAGAAUCAGAAGAUCCGAUAUGGACAAAACAAUAUCCAUAUCCUAUGGCUGAUCACGACUUUGUCAGGAAAGAGAUUGAGAAACUGUUAAAUGACGGUAUAAUUCAACCAAGCAAAAGCCCAUAUAACUCACCUAUAUGGAUUGUUCCAAAAAAGGGCACCGAUGACCAAGAUAGACCCAAGAAACGAAUGGUUGUUGACUUUCAAAAAAUUAACGCUCAUACGAUUACUGACAGAUAUCUUAUACCAGGCAUUAAUAUGACAAUACAAAAUUUGGGAAAAGCAAAAGUUUUUACCGCAAUUGAUUUGGAAUCUGGGUUUCACCAAAUUUUAAUUAAAUAAUCUGAUCGAGAAAAGACAGCAUUUUCUGUCAACGGUACAAAGUAUGAAUUUAUUAGGAGGGCAUUCGGUCUAAAGAAUGCUCCAUCCAUAUUUCAACGAUGCGUCGACGACAUUCUUAUUUGCAUAUGUCUAUACUGAUGACGCAUUAAUAUAUUCUUCCACACCAGAAAAACAUAUGGAACACAUUAAAAUAAUAAUUAACGCAUUACAUAAUGCAAACAUGAAGAUUACUGACGAAAAGUCAACCUUUUGUCAAGAUUCAGUCGAAUACCUUGGGCAUAUCAUAAAACAUAACAAAAUAACAGUUGAUCAUAAAAAAAUCGACACUAUAAAAACUACCCUCAACCAAAAAACUUAAAAGAACUAAGAUCUUUCUUAGGACUUGCCAGUUAUUACAGGAAAUUUGUGAAAGAUUUUGCUAAACUCACGAAGCCACUAACAAUUCAUUUAAGAGGAGAGUUAGGAAUGGUAAAAAAAUCAAAGCGCUAAAGUACUCAUAAAUCUGGAUGAUGCUGCAAUAGAAGCUUUAAAUAAAAUAAAAAACGCAUUGCAAGAACAGGUUGAACUUUUCCAACCAGAUUUCUCCAAACCAUUUAGUUUAACAACAGAUGCAAGUAAUUUUGCUAUUGGAACAGUUUUAUCACAAAACCGUCAGCCGAUAGCAUUUAUCUCACGUACAUUGAAUUCAACGGAACAAAACUAUAGCUCCAAUGAAAAGGAACUAUUAGCAAUAGUAUGGUCCCUACAAAAACUCAGAAACUAUUUGUACGGUAUAGCAAACAAUACCAUUUAUACAGACCAUCAAUCAUUAAUUUUUUCUAUUUCCGAAAGAAAUCCCAACUCAAAAUUAUAAAGGUGGAAAAAUUUGAUUGAAAAAUAUGUUGCUAAAUUAGUUUACAAACCAGGACACCAAAAUGUCGUAGCCGAUGCUCUUUCCAGGCAACAAAUUAAUACUAACACUAGUUGUUCAGACCAUUCACAAAAAAGUUAAUCAAACGAUAUUAUUAAAAAAGUUAAACAACCUCUUAAUUCAUUUAAAAAUCAAAUAAUACUAUCGCAAGAUAAUGAAAGAAAUGAAAUAAUCACCCAAACAAUAUUUCCUUGUCAACGUAGACAUACAAUAUAUUUCAAAGACACAGCAGAUUUAUUAACUAAACUAAAAGACACAAUAACGCUAAAUAUUACUAAUGCAUUGAAAAUAGAUGACGAAAUAAUUUAAAAAUCAAAUCGUCGCAGCUUUCCCAAACUAUACUUUUGUAUUAGCUCAAAAUCAGCUUAUUGAUGUCACUUCUGGAAACGACCAAUUUGAAAUUAUUACACAAGUACACAAACGUGCCCAUAGAAAUUACAAAAAUAAUACACAGGAAAUACUAUUAACUCAUUUCUGUCCUAACAUUAAAGAAAUGGGUAAAAAAGAAACAAUAGACUGCGAGAUAUGUCUACAACAUAAGUACGAACGACAACCAAAUAGACAACCUAUAGGAAAAACACCAAUUCCAACACAAACAGGAGAGUACAUUCAAAUGGACAUAUUCCAUAUCAAUAACACGCAGUAUCUUAGCUCUAUAGAUAGGUACUCUAAAUAUUGUUUCUUACGAAAACUAGACACAAAGAUAAACUGUCAUGAAUACAUAGAAAAAGUACUAACACAAGUGUAUCCGAACGCCAAAUAUCUCAUGACUGAUAACGAAAGUGUAUUUAACGCAAACACUGCAAGAUGCGUAUACAAUCGACUACAUAUUACACACGUAAUAACACCAGUGCAUCACUCAACUUCCAACGCUCAAGUCGAACGUCAAGUUGCACGGUACAAUCAUCGAGCUCUGUCAGAGUUUAGCCGCCCAAAAUAGUACCGCGCCGGGUGAAGAAAUAUUUAACGUUGUUCGCUAAUAACGGGUGAUUUUUUUGAGGUUAGGAUUUUCAUGCAUUAGUAUUUGACAGAUCACGUGGGAUUUCAGACAUGGUGUCAAAGAGAAAGAUGCUCAGUAUGCUUUGACAUUUCAUCAUGAAUAGACUUACUAACGAGCAACGCUUGCAAAUCAUUGAAUUUUAUUACCAAAAUCAGUGUUCGGUUCGAAAUGUGAAAAUCCGCUUUUUUAUCGACAAAUUUUGUUCAGCGAUGAGGCUCAUUUCUGGUUGAAUGGCUACGUAAAUAAGCAAAAUUGCCGCAUUUGGGGUGAAGAGCAACCAGAAGCCGUUCAAGAACUGCCCAUGCAUCCCGAAAAAUGCACUGUUUGGUGUGGUUUGUACGCUGGUGGAAUCAUUGGACCGUAUUUUUUCAAAGAUGCUGUUGGACGCAACGUUACGGUGAAUGGCGAUCGCUAUCGUUCGAUGCUAACAAACUUUUUGUUGCCAAAAAUGGAAGAACUGAACUUGGUUGACAUGUGGUUUCAACAAGAUGGCGCUACAUGCCACACAGCUCGCGAUUCUAUGGCCAUUUUGAGGGAAAACUUCGGACAACAAUUCAUCUCAAGAAAUGGACCCGUAAGUUGGCCACCAAGAUCAUGCGAUUUAACGCCUUUAGACUAUUUUUUGUGGGGCUGCGUCAAGUCUAAAGUCUACAGAAAUAAGCCAGCAACUAUUCCAGCUUUGGAAGACAACAUUUCCGAAGAAAUUCGGGCUAUUCCGGCCGAAAUGCUCGAAAAAGUUGCCCAAAAUUGGACUUUCCGAAUGGACCACCUAAGACGCAGCCGCGGUCAACAUUUAAAUGAAAUUAUCUUCAAAAAGUAAAUGUCAUGAACCAAUCUAACGUUUCAAAUAAAGAACCGAUGAGAUUUUGCAAAUUUUAUGCGUUUUUUUUUUUUUAAAGUUAUCAAGCUCUUAAAAAAUCACCCUAUAUAAUCGAACAAUACACUCCUCUACAGGAUACAAACCUGAAGAAGUUUUUUUUAAUCGUGAAAAAUAUCCCGACAUCAAAAAUACACUUGAAGUAAAACAAUAUAUUCUACUUCAAUAUCAUAAUAAAAAUAGGCAAAUUAUAACAUACCAACCAGGCGAUAUAAUAUACAGUCGAACAGACCGCAGUAACAAAAUUGCUGCGAAAUACAACAAACACAAGGUAAAAGAAGACCGUGGGGACACGAUCUUAACAGAGAGGGGGAAAGUCAACAACAUUCGUAAAGCACACAAUGCAACCCGCAAACAUAGGACUAAUCCCUGCAAGACGGAGGUAACAGAUUGCACAAACACAUUGAAACAUUUUCAGCUGUUCACUAACACUGUUACAUUUUCUGGAAUUUUCAAUGGAAUGGGAGAAUACGUAAGUAAGAUAGAGAAAAACUAUCGACAUUAUAAACAUAUUGUAAUGUUAACUUGUUAGAAUAGGAGAGGCGAAUACCCAACAUUUCAAGAAGAAUAAACGAAAAGCGCAGUUUAUUUUGGAUUUUAAAGAGAGAAAACGAAAGAGGUUAACAAGGAGAAAAAGAAAUCAUUUGGACCAUUGGUAAAAUUCAAAUCUAUUGCGUGCAGCAACCAAAUAAUGGAGUAUGUUUUAAAUUAUUAAAGUUAAAUAGUGUAUAUUUCAUUCAAAUAUUUGUUAUAGAUUGUGCAUUUUAUUUUGAUUUUAUUAUUAAAUAAAGAGAAAUAAUAAAGAAAACUGAGUUUUAUUUAAAAUAAUUUAAUUUGCUAGAAGUAACAAAUGGGUAACAGAUAAUCUUGUUACUGCUUGUUCUUCCUAACAUGCUUAUAUGUUAAAGGUAACAAACUGAUAACCAAAAUAAUAACACUAACAGAUAUUCGGGUAACAAAUACUUUUUGUUAUCCAUAACACAUGGGUAAGCUAAGCGCUAACAAAAUAAUUUGUUACCCGUAACAUACUGUGAAGAGAUUUGCUAACAAAUGUGUGUAUUCUGUUAGAACAAGGCAGCAUGCGAUAUUUGCCAUUGGUUAGAGCGAGAUAACCAUUGAACAUCAAAUAGCUAUGUGUUACUUUUUUCCCACUCUCUGAACAAAAAUAACAAAUAUUUUAACGAAUGCAAAAGUGAACAAUAACAAUUCGCUUACACGUUUGCUAACAGCUACCCGUCUUGCAGGGAUAAUAUUUUCUUGUGUAAUUUGAUUCGGAAAUUCGGAUAAAUUUACAGAUCUCAUGAACAAAAAAUAUGUACUUACUGAAACAGAUGCAGUAUACACUUACAAUAAUUCUGCUUAUCUUUACCGCAUAACGAACAUAUCUAAAAUAUUAGCACCCUACGAGACCUUAAGGAAAAACCAAUAUAAUUCGAAGGAAUACCAUGUAGAUAACAUACUUUCAAGAAAAAUAGAAACUCUUAAAGCUCAACUGCUACCAUCGUGCAAAACGUGCCAUUAAUUUUUUAGGUUCAGUUUUAAAAUUUAUAACAGGAACACCAGAUCACGAUGAUCUAAUAGAGAUAAAGACAGGACUCAAUCAACCCAUUGAGAAUAAUAACCAACAACAACAAGUUAAUUCUCGAUUCGAAAAGAUUUUAGAAACAAUAGAUCCACAAUCACUAGCCGAUGAUUUAGUUAUUACUGAAGUAUAUAAAGAAUUAGAAACGAUCGCAAACACAGUCAAUUUUGCAAAAACAGGCAGUUUUUUAUUCAGGAACACUUAAUAUUAAAGAAGUAGAAGAAAUCAUAAAAAACGAAAUUUAUGGUAUUCCAAUAAUAAAUACAUAUAUUAGAAUAUUCUGAUGUUCACAUAUG